rnacentral:lncRNA from 1 species
AAGAAGAGCACUUCGAAGCUAGAGAAUCAGCUCAAGUUCCUUCAGAGAGAAUAGUAACACAAACUCAAAGAGCCAGGCUAUUUCUCCUGACUUGGUGAAAUCAGAGGUAGAAGUGAAAGUCAUCCCCAGGGAUGUGGGAAUACGUUUAAACCUGGCGCUGGCCUUGAAUGAAGGGCUCUUGAGCCUGAAGGGCUGGAGCAGUCUGGGGUCAAGAGAAACAGGAGGUGUCCUGCAGCUCUCAUACUGAUUCCAGUGCAGCAUUAUAAUAAAGACCAAGAAAGCUAUGUGUUUCAAAAGUAGAAAACAAAACAAAAUCAAAGGAGGGCACUUACAUAACACUUUGCUCACAUUAUUUGCCUGGCCCACACAGACUCUUGGAUGUGCAGUUCUUGCCAAUGAUUAAAUAAAAUUCAAACUGCU